AUACUCGGCGGCUUGUCCGUUGUACUUCAUCAGUAGCCAGGAGGAGUACUCCCUCUCCUUGGCAAGGGUCUCUGCACGAUGUACUGAGUCCUCAUAGCCUUGAAGCAUCUGAGAUUUCCGUCGGGAACGCCUGAUGACAUCCUACACCACAGAAUACGUACUCGUGUUAGGGUACGAGUGCUGAUUUCAAGUAAUGGAAUAACUAGGACCAAAGCAUACCUCUGAACAUACACCAACACGGCGGUACAUCUCCAUCAUUCCGG
rnacentral:lncRNA from 1 species